GAUGAACGCUGGCGGCGUGCCUAAUACAUGCAAGUCGAGCGAACAGAUGAGGAGCUUGCUCCUCUGACGUUAGCGGCGGACGGGUGAGUAACACGUGGAUAACCUACCUAUAAGACUGGGAUAACUUCGGGAAACCGGAGCUAAUACCGGAUAAUAUAUUGAACCGCAUGGUUCAAUAGUGAAAGACGGUUUUGCUGUCACUUAUAGAUGGAUCCGCGCCGCAUUAGCUAGUUGGUAAGGUAACGGCUUACCAAGGCAACGAUGCGUAGCCGACCUGAGAGGGUGAUAGGCCACACGGGAACUGAGACACGGUCCAGACGCCUACGGGAGGCAGCAGUAGGGAAUCUUCCGCAAUGGGCGAAAGCUUGACGGAGCAACGCCGCGUGAGUGAUGAAGGUCUUCGGAUCGUAAAACUCUGUUAUUAGGGAAGAAAAAAUGUGUAAGUAACUAUGCACGUCUUGACGGUACCUAAUCAGAAAGCCACGGCUAACUACGUG
rnacentral:rRNA from 1 species